UUUUAGAAAGGCUUUGUUAAUAAUAUCUAUGUUGCAAGUGUGUUCCUAUGAGACAAUGUAGAAUAAAUGCAGAAUAAAUGACCACUUGAGCAGGGUUAAUUUUGAUAGGACAUUUUUUUCAUAUCUUUUUUAUAUGAAUACAUAAAAUGUCACAUGCAAAAUAUGUAAGGUGUAGAUGUAAACAAAUUUUUUAUACAUUCAAUAUUGUAACGUGACUGUAUCUAAAAAUAAGAGCUGUCACAGGUAGGGUUGGAUAUCGUUAAGAACGAAACAAUAAGAUACAAUACCGAUACUUGUGAAACAAUACGGUAUUUAUUGAUACCAAAACUCUAUACUUUUAAAGCGUUUGAGCAGCUUUAUUCAUUAUGUAUUCAUUAUUUCUAUAGGAAUCUUAUUUUGUUUUGUUUUAUUAUCAAAUAAAAGUAAUUAUCAAG